UUCCUUCCUGUAGAAGUUCCGGUCUGGCCA
rnacentral:piRNA from 1 species